CAUAUACUCCCUCCGUCUCAAAAUUCUUGUCUUAGAUUUGUCCAAAUACAAAUGUAUCAAGUCACGUUUUAGUAUUAGAUACAUCCGUAUCUAGGCAAAUGUAAGAUAAGAAUUUUGGGACGGAGGGAGUAUAUC
rfam:Triticum aestivum genome assembly, contig: Triticum_aestivum_CS42_TGACv1_scaffold_578867_7BL